GCCCGGUUAGCUCAGUUGGAAGAGCGUGUGGCUUUUAUGACGUCACAGGCGUAAUGAUACCUCAAUGUCGUGGGUUCGAGCCCCACAUCGGGCG